UUUUCUUUACUCUUUCUUUGCUGUUGUGAAUUCAAGCUGUAUCUUCCAGAAGUGUGCCCAAAGUUAGUUUUCACACCAUGGAGGCUGAAGCAUCUUGGUUCUCUAGCUUGUGUAUCUGUAUGCAUCUGUACUUCCUAAGGCCUGACGUCAUUGGAGCUAGAAUGAUUAAACCUUUUCAGAGCCUGAAAAGGCUCCUCAUUAUGAAUAGUUUAGGGAGAGUUAGUUCAUCUUUCAUCAAUCUGUAACUUGACACAUGUAAACAUGUAGGAAGAGCAGAGCUUGCUGGCACAGGCUGUGCCCUUCCACACACUGCAUGGACAAUAUAAGGACAAAGAAGCCAUAUAACAAAAAUCCUAACCGUAAUAAUUAAGAUUAGUAAAUCAACUAUGCAAAGGAACAUAAAGUUCAAGAGCCUUAGAGACACUGGUAAAUAUUUCCCCACCCACCCCAUCUUGCUUAUUACUGAAAAUCCAUGAGAACUGUCUGACUGGAAUGCUUUGGUUUGAAGCCUGAUUGAAUCUUGGACAAAAUGCUGCACAAAAAGCACUUUCUUCCAGCAACCUACCAAUCAUGCUAACAGUUGUUGAUUUCAGAUUUAUCACUCCUCUUAAGAAGUGAAAAUCUCAAUCGUUAGAGCUUCCAACACUAGCAAAAUCUGCCAGAGGUCUUCCUGUUUUAUUGACAUCAAUUUUUGCACAAGCAAUGGGUUCAUUUCACCAGAUUGCCACAAUACAUCUGUUUUGGACAAUUGUGUGAUGCUGUAAGUCCCCUUGGUCACUGCUGAGUUAACAAUUCAAUAGAGGAAUCCUCUCUAAUGCUGAAAAUCACAUUGACUCAUUGACUCUGAGAGAUAGCUAAGUUAAAAAAAAAAAAAAAAAAAAAAAAAAAAGAACAGGAGGACGUGAACAUCACCUGCAAAUGUUUGCUGAGCAAAGCAAUCUAUCUCCACUGUGUUACUACUUCCACAUUUAAGAUCAGUGAGACACGAUGGAGCCCAGGAGAGGAAUGAACUUCUCUCUCCAACAUGUGGUAAAAUCAGCCUGCAAUUCACAGUAUAUAAUGGGAGGAGACAGAGCUAAUUCCAACCUUUGAGCACAUACAUACAGGGGGCCCAACCAAGGCAUUUCUCUUUUACAUAUGAGUUUGAUCCUACCUCACACACCUCCUGUGUGUAGGACUGCCAGAAAUGAGAAAGAUUUUGUCCCUUCUUACACCCUUAUCAAGAAACAGGUAGUGAUAAUUAGAUUUCAAGUUUUACCAGUAACUCAUCUGACUACUGGACCUUUCCCUACAGAAAUGGGCUCUGUACUUAAAAGAGAAAUGAAACUAAAAGAAAAUCUCCCAUGUUUUCUAAUCAUUUACAGCAACUGAAAAUUGAAGAUCAUUAUAAACAUCAGGCUUGGCAGCAUACUAAAAACUCUUUCCCCUUCUAAUAUAGCUGAUGCUGGAGGGCUGAUCCAUUGGCUUCUAUUUUGGGAGGUGAAAGAAGGUAGUCACUAGAGCGCUAUUAAAAACAGAGUUUCUUCAAGACAUUUGCAUCACUUAAAUGGGUCAUAAACAAAGGCAGAAGCAGUAUUUACUGUGCUAUUAAGGUAAACAAAAAUAGAAACCCACAGGUAAUUAUGAAAGAGAUUGAGUCUGGCAGGUGGGUUCCAGCAGUCUGGUUUUGAUUUCCAAACGAGGGAUUAGAGCCAAGCUAUAGACCUGCCAUAAUAAAUUAACUAUAUUCCCAUACUUACAUGGCUUGUUUCUUUUCACUUCUACUUUCAUUUUACAUUAGCAGCAUUUGGUGCUCUGAUCUAGAAACAAGCCUUCUCGUUUCUUAAUCACCUCUGAGCCUGAAGUUGUUUUUAUGGUGGAACUACAACCACUGCACAGCGACCAGCAUGGGGCCAUCCUGCCAGGCCAUACCUGUGCAGCACUGACCACAGGACCUGGCAUCCAUAUGCCGCUCACAAGAAAUGGAGAAGCGUCGCUUACAUUUUUAAGAGGAAAUGGCUUGUCAGUGAAAUAAUGAGUCCCGUGAGCAGAAACUACAGGGGAAAAAAAAAAAAAAAA